rnacentral:lncRNA from 1 species
GGUGGAGAUGGUCGAGAAAUUGAGACACAUGGUUCUGCUGUCCUGGGUAACUUCUGCGACAAGCGCAUUCGAUGGUACAAAAGACAUAAUGGAAGCUCUUAGAAACAAACAUACUAAUCUAGCCAAUGAGCUUGAGGUAAAUAUCAUAUUAUUAUGUUCUCUAAAAUCAUGUUAAGCUUUACUUUAUUUAUUUUGCUACAUUUUGCUUUGAUUUUCUUUUACGGUAUUUGGCUACGUGCUUGGUAAUACUGAUUUUGAAGGCUGAUUUGUUUGCCUGUCUAGAAAAACAUAACAGAUUUAAUGGAGGGCUUGGUAGAGCGUAUUCGUGCCUUGUCAUUUCAAAGCAUUGUGCGCUAGGAAAUUUCUUGGUUUGACUACGUCUCAAAUUCCAGGUACGAUAAAGACUUCUUAUUUCUUAUUGUUUAUUUUCUAAUACACAUAUACAGAUUUAAUGGAGGGCUUGGUACAAGGCUCUUAGUUGAUGCGCUAAAUGUCCGACGCUUAGCAGGAGAUAACCUGGCCCUUAUAAUGCAGUCCAUAGCUACACUAAUAACUAGAUUUGCCAUACGCUUAGCAGGAGAUAACCUGGCCCUUAUAAUGCAGUGAAUAGGUUGAACCUAUAGGUAUAUACAUCUGUGGUAGUUGACUGUAUCUCUUGUCAUCAGUAUUGUAAUUGUUUUAGGACAGUUUAGUGAAUAUGUUAGUAAGUGCAUCUUAUAAUAUGCAUAAGCAAAUAAGGUGAAGCUAUAUGUAUAUACCUAGAUAAAACGGUACAAUAUUUAUGAGCAAUAAAAUGUGAAAAAAUAGAGGAGUAGAAAACAUUGCCACGAGCAAUUUGAACAAAUGAAUUGGGAUGUGCUUUCUAAUUCCCCGAGUCAAAAGCUACAAUAGUAAGUAGGAGUAGAAAAGCAUGGGGUUAGUUGGUUAGGUCCUAAUCAGACAAACAGAUCUAUCAUUGAGGAAAAUACCCAAUUAGUAGUUUCAGAGAAUUCAUUCAUUCCAAAUGGGCUCCAACACUGCUAAUCAGAUUAAAAGUUUUUUCAUUGCAAUAGUAAACAUCGUAGUGAUUUGACAAAAAAGACGCAGCCUGUAUGCAGAGGUGUUAUAUCUGCACAACAUAUGAAUAUUUAUGGUUCCCAUGUGCACUCUAGGUUGUGCACUAGCUUUUAAGUUUGUUGCUAUAUUAAGUGGUCACAGAAGCAUGAUACUGAGGUGGCACUAGGUUGAAUUUCCUUGUUUGCUGGACUUGGAUGCCAUUCAAGCUACCAAACUGAACGAGUACCAUGCUGGUAAUGGAAGAGUACCAUACUAAAGUAGUUUGCAUGCAUAAACAGAAUUCUGAAGAAGUACCAUUUCCAGGUCACUUGACAUCCAAGAGCGAUGUGUGCAGCUUUAGGGUGGUGCUGCUGGAGCUCAUGAUAGGCAGACGGUCAAUGGACAAGAGCCGAUCAGCAGG